GGCGGCGGAGGAGGAGGAGGCGGCGGCCGAGGCGGAGGGACGACCCGGCCCCACGCCCGCCCGCGCGCCCGCACGCCCGCCCGUGGCCUCGCGUCCGCCGCUGCACUCGGCAGUGCUGCCGGUCGGAGGCAAGAGCUCGCUGGGGCGCCGAGGGAGGACGGGGCGGCAGGGCGCCUUCGCGGAGUGAGCCUGCCGGAGCCCCGGGCUCGGAGCCGCGGCGGCCUCGGAGAGUGUUUGGAUUGUGAGCAAUUUAAGCGCUAUCCUCAGGAUCCAUUAUUUUAACAUUUGGGAGAAACACAUCCAGAAGAUACACACUAGAUUGAAGGAGGAGUGGGGAAUCUGAAGACUCCAAAUGGCAUCAGAGCUACUUUUCAACAGCCUUCUCAGUUUCCUUUCUCAGAAAGCAGAGACUCAAUCCUUGGAGACAGACGAAUACUGAUAUUUGCAUUUAUUGUGGAACAAAAGGUGAAGAAGGAGAAACAGUAUAUUCACUAAGGAUUCUAUCUGCUUGCUGCUGCAGACCUGUGUGUUGAGGAAUUCUGCUGCUGCUUCUUGCUUGGGAGUUAUCAAGUCUGCAGUCAGGCUGCAUUGGGAGUCCCUUGCCUUUUGUCUCAUCAUUGCCAACCAGCAGGCCAAUCCCAGUCGGAACGGAACAGUACACCUCUGUCUAAUUACUAUGGAAGGUGAGAAACCGACAUUCACUAAUUGAAGUUACAUCUCACUCACCCACAGAAAAACCAUUCUUCAAAGUGAAUAGAAACCAAGCCUUUGUGAACACUUCUAUUGAACAUGACUCAUGGAGAAGAGCUUGGCUCUGAUGUGCACCAGGAUUCUAUUGUUUUAACUUACCUAGAAGGAUUACUAAUGCAUCAGGCAGCAGAGGGAUCAGGUACUGCCAUCGACAAAAAGUCUGCUGGCUGUGAUGAGGAAGAUCAGAACUUUAACAUUUCUGGUAAUGCAUUUCCCACCUGUCAAAGUAAUGGUCCAGUUCUCAACACACAUACAUAUCAGGGAUCUGGCAUGCUGCAUCUCAAAAAAGCCAGACUCUUGCAGUCUUCGGAGGACUGGAAUGCAGCGAAGCGGAAGAGGCUGUCUGAUUCCAUCGUAAAUUUAAACGUAAAGAAGGAAGCUUUGCUGGCUGGCAUGGCUGACAGUGUGCCUAAAGGCAAACAGGAUAACACGGUACUGGCCUCUUUGCUUCAGUCGUUCAGCUCUAGGCUGCAGACUGUUGCUCUGUCACAACAGAUUAGGCAGAGCCUCAAGGAGCAAGGAUACGCCCUCAGUCAUAAUUCUUUAAAAGUGGAGAAAGAUUUAAGGUGCUACGGUGUCGCGUCAAGUCACUUAAAAACGUUGCUGAAGAAAAGUAAAGCUAAAGAUCAAAAGCCUGAUACCAGUCUCCCUGACAUAACUAAAAACCUCAUCAGAGAUAGGUUCGUAGAGUCACCUCAUCAUGUUGGACAGAGUGGCACAAAGGUCAUGAGUGAACCCUUGUCAUGUGCUGCGAGGUUACAGGCUGUCGCAAGCAUGGUGGAAAAAAGGGCUAGUCCUGCCACGUCACCCAAGCCGAGCGUUGCUUGUAGCCAAUUAGCAUUACUCCUUUCAAGCGAAGCCCAUUUACAGCAGUAUUCUCGAGAACACGCUUUAAAAACACAAAAUGCAAAUCAGGCGGCAAGUGAAAGACUUGCUGCUAUGGCCAGAUUACAAGAAAAUGGCCAAAAGGAUGUGGGCAGUUUCCAGUUCUCAAAAGGAAUGUCAAGCCAUCUGAAUGGUCAGGCAAGGACAUCAUCAAACAAACUAAUGGCUAGCAAAAGUACAACAUUUCAGAAUCCGAUGGGUAUUGUUCCUUCUUCCCCCAAAAAUGCAGGCUAUAAGAACUCACUGGAAAGAAGCAAUGCCAAACAAGCUGCUAACAACAGUUUGCUUUUACAUCUUCUUAAAAGCCAGACCAUACCUAAGCCAAUGAACGGACACAGUCAUAGUGAGAAAGGAAGCCUUUUUGAGGAGAGCAGUACACCCACAACUAUUGAUGAAUACUCAGAUAACAAUCCUAGUUUUACAGAUGAUAGCAGUGGUGACGAAAGUUCAUAUUCCAACUGUGUUCCCAUAGACUUGUCUUGCAAACACCGAAUCGAAAAAGCAGAACCUGACCAGCCUGUUUCUCUGGAUAACUUAACUCAGUCCUUGCUAAACACUUGGGAUCCAAAAGUCCCCGAAGUAGAUAUCAAAGAAGAUCAAGAUACCUCAAAGAAUUCUAAGCUAAAUUCACACCAGAAAGUAACCCUUCUUCAGUUGCUACUUGGCCAUAAGAAUGAAGAAAAUGUAGAAAGAAACAGCAGCCCUCAGGAACCACACAGUGAUGGGACAAAGUUCAGCACACAUAAUUACACGCGGACUUCUGUCAUAGAAAGCCCUAGUACCAGCAGGACUACUCCAGUGAGCACUCCACCAUUACUUGCAUCCACCAAAGCCGAGUCUCCCAUCAACCUUUCCCAACACUCUCUGGUCAUCAAGUGGAAUUCCCCACCGUAUGCCUGUGGCCCUCAGUCUGAAAAGCCAACGAAUACCGUGUCGAACCACCUGAUGGACCUUACAAAAAGCAAAGAAUCGCAAGGGGAGAAACCAGUCCAAAAUGAAGGCACACAAAACUCUGCCACUUUCAGUGCCAGUAAACUGUUACAAAAUUUAGCACAAUGUGGAAUGCAGUCUUCCGUGUCAGGGGAAGAGCAGAGACCCAGUAAACAGCUGCUGAGUGUAAGCACGGAGAAACCUACAGGUAUGACUGAUAGACUAAAUAGCCCUCUGCUCUCAAAUAAAGCAAAUGCAGUUGAAGAAAAGAAAGCGUUCGGCAGUCACGCAACAGGUCCUGAACCAGGACUUUCUGGUUCCGAAAUAGAAAAUCUGCUUGAAAGGCGCACCGUCCUCCAGUUGCUGCUGGGAAACCCCAACAAAGGGAAGCCCGAAAAGAAAGAGAAGAUUCCCUUAAGAGACGAAAGUACUCAGGAACAUACAGAUAGAGCUUUAAGUGAACAAAUACUGAUGGUGAAAAUAAAAUCUGAGCCUUGCGAUGACUUGCAUACGCAUACCACAAAUGUGCCCUUGAGCCACGACGCUCAGGGCGCCCCCUUCUUAGGCGUGGCUCCUGCCUUGCAGGGAAGCACAGCUGUCUUACCAGCAUCCGAGGACUUCAAAUCGGAGCCGGUCUCACCUCAGGAUUUUUCUUUCUCUAAGAACGGUCUGCUAAGUCGGCUGCUGAGACAAAACCAAGAGAGUCACCUGGCUGAUGACCUGGACAGCAGUCACAGAAAUAGUGAACUGACACUUCUAGAAUCAAAGAAUCUUUGCAUGGUCCCUAAAAAAAGGAAGCUUCAUACUGAGCCGUUAGAAAAUCCAUUUAAAAAGAUGAAAAAUAACAUAGUCGAUGCUGCAGACAGUCACAGUGCUCCGAAGGUGCUGUAUGGGUCCUUGCUUAACCAGCAAGAGCUGAAGCUUAGCAGAAAUGAUCUUGAGUUUAAAUAUCCUGCCAGUCAUGGUUCAGCCAGUGACAGUGAACACAGGAAUUGGGCCAGAGAGAGCAAAAGCUUCAACGUUCUGAAACAGCUGCUUCUCUCCGAAAACUGUGUGAGAGAUUUGUCUCAGCACAGGAGUAAUUCUGUCGUCGACAGUAAAAAAAAAGGACACAGAAACCAUGUGACCAAUAGCAAGCCUGAAUUCAGCAUAUCUUCUCUAAACGGACUCAUGUACAGUGCUGCUCAGCCCAACAGCUGCAUGGGCCACAGGACAUUUCCAUACCCGGGUGUAGGAAAACCUCCUGUGAGCCCUCCUUUCCCCGAGCACUUGGGCUGCACAGGGUCUAGACCAGAAUCUGGGCUUGUGAAUGGGUGUUCCGUGCCCAGUGAGAAGGGACCCAUCAAGUGGGUUAUCACAGAUGUGGAUAAGAAUGAGUAUGAGAAAGACUCUCCGAGACUGACCAAAACUAACCCAAUACUGUAUUACAUGCUCCAAAAAGGAGGCAAUUCUGUUACCAGUCGAGAAACACAGGACAAGGACAUUUGGAGAGAGCCUUCAUCUGCUGAAAGUAUCUCACAGGUUACAGUCAAAGAAGAGCUACUUCCCGCUGCAGAAACUAAAGCUUCUUUCUUUAAUUUAAGAAGCACUUACAAUAGCCAUAUGGGAAAUAAUGCCUCUCACUCACACAGUGCAAAUGGAGAAGUUUAUGGACUUCUGGGAAACGUGCUAACAAUAAAAAAGGAAUCAGAAUAAAAUGUACCUGCCAUCCGUCUUUGGAUCUUUUUAAAACUAACUAGUAUGAACUUGAGAUCUGUAUAAAUAAGCGCAUGAUUUGAGAAAAGCAUGGUAUAAUUGAAACUUUUUCAUUUUGAAAAGAAUUGGUUACUGUGAUGUUUAAAUAUGCAUACUACUUCUUGCUUUACAUUAGAUGUCAUGAGGAAGCUGCUGAACUAGCAAUUGGUUGUUUAACACCUUCUUAUGCAUCAGACAACAACUAAUUAGGAAAGUUAACAUGUAUCUUCAGGUGGUUUCCUGAAUAGUUGAAAUAAGUUGUUUUUAACAAGCAAAAUGGCUUUUCUUUGGACAAUUUUCACCAUCUCUUGUAAAAGCUACUUCUCACCAUUUCUGUGGUACCUGUGAGUCUUAUGACCAGGCUUUCUUAAAGUUGGACUCAGACCACCUGCAUUAGAAUCAUCUGGAGCACUUGUUUUAAAAUGCAGAUUCCUAGGCAGCAUCUCAGAUCUACAGAACAAGAAUCUCUGCUAAGUGGACCUGGGAAUCUCCCUUCUGCAUCUUAAUAUACUCCCUAGGUGUUUCUUCUGCACACUGAAAUUUGAAUUUUGAAAAUUGAAACCAUUGCCUAUGACUUCUCUCAACACAGGAUUGUGAACAAACUAUUUGAUGCCUAUAUUUUCCCCAGUACAGUCACACAUCAACUCAAAAUUUGCAAUAUUGUACUUCAUAUAUUACUGCUAUGUCUUUGGAAAUCGGGUUCAGAAUACUUUUUAUGACAAAAAAAAAUCGGGUGGAGGGGACAACUUUCAUAUUUGGCUCAACAUCUCAGGAAAAUCUGUGAUUAUUUGUGUGUUCUAAUGAGUAACAUCUACUUAAUUAGCCUUAGGGAUGGAAUAACAGGGCCACUUACCAAACUCAGGUGAUUCCAGGAUGGUUUGGCAACUCCUCCUGAAUACAUCCUUAACUUCUCUUAAAACCAUUGUCCUAAGAACAGUGCUGACAAAGAUGAAAACAUUUAUUUCAAACCCAAGAAAGGCACUAAACUCAGAUAGACUAAACAAAAAAGUACAAAGGGCACAUAUACAUGACAAAUUUGUACACAGUCACUCCAUCGGAUCUGUUAUUUUAAAAUAGUGAUUAAAAGUAAACAUUGAUGUUUUCUUGGAAGAACUUAAUGUGUUAUUGAGCCGCAUGGGGUUUCUAUCUUGAAACAAGUCCAUGCUUUUCAGUUCAGUUUUUACAAUCCACAGUUCUUUCACCAGAUAUUUUUGGGUUUAAUUGUGAACUGAGUUAGCAACUGACCUAUCAAAAAAUUGUUAUAUAAUCGACUGUUAAUUAGAAGGAAAUCUAUUUGAAAUUGUUCUACUUGAGGUUGUUUCUAAGAUUUUUAUAUUAAAAAUGGGCGUUAUUUCCUAAUAUGAUCUAAAACCCUAAAUGAUUAUUUUUUUCUCAAAAUAAUUUGUAAAUAGUUACUGGAUAUAUUAUAAAAUAAUAGGAGCGAAUAUUAUGCUACAUCAUGAAAAUUCCACUGGCCAGUGAAGAUUUUCAACUCCAUCCCAUCUUUAUUCUGUGACAAUCUUAUUGUCUACACUGUAUAAAUAAGCUUUUAAGCAAGUCAUUUUUUUCUGCCAUUGUGAAAGGUCUGGAGCCUUAGAAGUAUGCUAGAAAAAAAUAUUGAUAUUCCCCCUUGGUUAGGGGAAAAUGGGCUUUUACAAGGGGGUGAAAUUUAGGUCAGGAAAGAGAGCAUCAAGGGCCAGCGUUGCUUUUUUUUUGUUUCUUUGGUUGGUCAUUUGUUUUGUUGUUGUUGUUACUGUUGUCAACAGUCAAAGAAACGAGGGUAUGUCAUAUAUAAAUAAACAUGACCACAAAGAAACCUGUUCUGAUUUACUAGAGUGUCCCCAAUUUGAGUUUAGUAUGAUUUUAAAGAAGAGUGGUGAGAAAGGGCCUACAUCCAUAAAUGCACUUCAUUUAUGCAUAUGUAGAUACAAGGAUGCACAUAUACACAUUUUCAAGGACUAUUUUAGAUAUCUAGACAAUUUCUUCCUAAUAAAGUCAUUUGUGAAAGGGUACUACAGCUCUCAUUGACAUCAGUAAGGUAGCAUUACCUGUUUAUUCUCUGCUGCAUCUUACAGAAGAGUAAACUGGUGAGAGUAUAUAUUUUAUAUAUAUAUAUAUAUAUAUAUAUAAUAUGUAUAUAUAUAUAUAUUGACUUGUUACAUGAAGAUGUUAAAAUUGGUUUUUAAAGGUGAUGUAAAUAGUGAUUUCCUUAAUGAAAAAUACAUAUUUUGUAUUGUUCUAAUACAACAGAAAAGCCUUUUAAUCUCUUUGGUUUCUGUAUAUUCCAUGUAUAAGUGUAAAUAUAAUCGGACAGGUUUAAAAAUUGUGCAUGUGUGUAUACAGUUGCAAGUCUGGACAAAUGUAUAGAGUAAGCCUUUUAUUUAAGUUGUGAUUACCUGCUGCAUGAAAAGUGCAUGGGGGACCCUGUGCAUCUGUGCAUUUGGCAAAAUGUCUUAAGCAGUCAGAUCAGAUAUUCAUCCCAACAUAACAGUAUUCCAUUUCUGGACAUGACUUCCGUGGUUUAAGCUUUGUGAAAGAAUGUGCUUUGAAUCCAAGGGUCUUAAAACUUUUUAAAUCAAGUCAACCACUUUUCAACAUAAAGAAUUCACACAACUACUUUCAUGAAUUUUUUAAUCCCAUUGGAAACAUAAUAAUAUACCAGGAGUAUUCCAGUAUACUGGAAUACAGGCACAUUACCAUUCAUGGUAUGAAUUCUGGGGUUUACACAACCAAUUUUGAUGCGAUAUGCUCAGUAAUAUAAUUUGUCAUUUUUAUUAGAAAUUUAAUUUCUUCAUGUGAUGUCAUGAAACUGUACAUACUGCAGUGUGAAUUUUUUGUUUUGUUUUUUAAUCUUUUAGUGUUUACUUCCUGCAGUGAAUUUGAA